rnacentral:rRNA from 1 species
GAGCCUGAGAAACGGCUACCACAUCNNNGGAUGGCAGCAGGCGCGCAAAUUACCCAAUCCCGACACGGGGAGGUAGUGACAAUAAAUAACAAUACGGGGUUCUUUAGGAUCUCGUAAUUGGAAUGAGUACAAUUUAAAUCUCUUAACGAGGAACAAUUGGAGGGCAAGUCUGGUGCCAGCAGCCGCGGUAAUUCCAGCUCCAAUAGCGUAUANNNAAGUUGUUGCAGUUAAAAAGCUCGUAGUUGAAUUUCGGGGUUAGUAGGUUGGUCAUGCCUCUGGUAUGUACUGGUCUCACUGAUUCCUCCUUCCUUAUGAACCGUAAUGCCAUUAAUUUGGUGUUGCGGGGAAUUUGGACUGUUACUUUGAAAAAAUUAGAGUGUUUAAAGCAAGCUAACGCUUGAAUACAUUAGCAUGGAAUAAUGAAAUAGGACGUUCGAUCUUAUUUUGUUGGUUUCUAGGAUUGACGUAAUGAUUAAUAGGGAUAGUUGGGGGCAUUAGUAUUCAAUUGUCAGAGGUGAAAUUCUUGGAUUUAUUGAAGACUAACUACUGCGAAAGCAUUUGCCAAGGAUGUUUUCAUUAAUCAAGAACGAAAGUUAGGGGAUCGAAGACGAUCAGAUACCGUCGUAGUCUUAACCAUAAACUAUGCCGACUAGGGAUCGGAUGAUGUUAAUUUUUUAAUGACUCAUUCGGCGCCUUACGGGAAC